UACAGAGGUCUCAAGCGUUGUUCGGAUUCACUGGGUUUAAAGGGUGCGUAGGUGGGUUGGUAAGUCAGUGGUGAAAUCUCCAGGCUUAACUUGGAAACUGCCGUUGAUACUAUCAAUCUUGAAUCUCGUAGAGGUAAGCGGAAUAUGUCAUGUAGCGGUGAAAUGCGUAGAUAUGACAUAGAACACCGAUAGCGAAGGCAGCUUGCUACACGAGUAUUGACACUGAAGCACGAAAGCGUGGGGAGCAAACAGG
rnacentral:rRNA from 1 species